AUAAAUUUGGUAAUUCCACAUAUUAUUUGAAAAUCUCACAACUAUCAAAACCUUUAGUCUCGCUCUCUUCUCUCUCUAACAUUCUUCAGAGAGGGAGACUUUAUCCUUAUUCUGCCGUUCGGACGUGGUCCGAUAUCGCCGUUAGUUUAGCCGUGACACGGCUUUCCGUUGCCGCGUUCUUUGUCGUCCGGUUUCAUGCCGGCUUAUGUACCAAAUCUCCGCGAUGGUCAGCUCUCGUCUAGCACCGCUUAGCUUCUUCAGCAACGGUGGCUAGCUCUUGCCCGGCACGACCGGCUAUUCUAGCGGUCAUGGCCGGUUUAUGUUCUUCUUUAAUUUCUGAAUUUUGUUUUAGUUUUGCUAAUAAUCUCAUCGGAUUUAUGUUGGGGGAUUGAAGAUUCUUCCGUCGUUUAUCACGAUUCCUUAAGCCGUUAUCUUUAAUUUGGAGCUUUGAUGUUUUCAUUCUGGUGCAAAACACAAGAAUCAUCUCACCGGAAUCAGCUCAACGGCGAAGGUUGUUGCCGGAAAACUUUUGAUUAUUCAUCCAGCGUGUGACGUGGUAUAUCCCGGUUGUCGACAUGUGUUCAUGGAUGGAGUUCCGAUAGAAUUUCUUCUGCAGAAGGUUAUCUAAUGGGCCUUUUUUGGGCUUUAUGUAAUUCCAAAGUUGGAGCUUUUGUUUAAGCUCUUGUAUGAUAUGAUGAUGUUUAAUAAAACUUAUGAGAC
rnacentral:misc_RNA from 1 species